UUAAGCGACUAAGCGUACACGGUGGAUGCCCUGGCAGUCAGAGGCGAUGAAGGACGUGCUAAUCUGCGAUAAGCGUCGGUGAGGUGAUAUGAACCGUUAUAACCGGCGAUUUCCGAAUGGGGAAACCCAGUGUGUUUCGACACACUAUCAUUAACUGAAUCCAUAGGUUAAUGAGGCGAACCGGGGGAACUGAAACAUCUAAGUACCCCGAGGAAAAGAAAUCAACCGAGAUUCCCCCAGUAGCGGCGAGCGAACGGGGAGGAGCCCAGAGCCUGAAUCAGUGUGUGUGUUAGUGGAAGCGUCUGGAAAGGCGUGCGAUACAGGGUGACAGCCCCGUACACAAAAAUGCACAUAUUGUGAGCUCGAUGAGUAGGGCGGGACACGUGGUAUCCUGUCUGAAUAUGGGGGGACCAUCCUCCAAGGCUAAAUACUCCUGACUGACCGAUAGUGAACCAGUACCGUGAGGGAAAGGCGAAAAGAACCCCGGCGAGGGGAGUGAAAAAGAACCUGAAACCGUGUACGUACAAGCAGUGGGAGCCUCUUAAUGGGGUGACUGCGUACCUUUUGUAUAAUGGGUCAGCGACUUAUAUUCUGUAGCAAGGUUAACCGAAUAGGGGAGCCGAAGGGAAACCGAGUCUUAACUGGGCGUUAAGUUGCAGGGUAUAGACCCGAAACCCGGUGAUCUAGCCAUGGGCAGGUUGAAGGUUGGGUAACACUAACUGGAGGACCGAACCGACUAAUGUUGAAAAAUUAGCGGAUGACUUGUGGCUGGGGGUGAAAGGCCAAUCAAACCGGGAGAUAGCUGGUUCUCCCCGAAAGCUAUUUAGGUAGCGCCUCGUGAAUUCAUCUCCGGGGGUAGAGCACUGUUUCGGCAAGGGGGUCAUCCCGACUUACCAACCCGAUGCAAACUGCGAAUACCGGAGAAUGUUAUCACGGGAGACACACGGCGGGUGCUAACGUCCGUCGUGAAGAGGGAAACAACCCAGACCGCCAGCUAAGGUCCCAAAGUCAUGGUUAAGUGGGAAACGAUGUGGGAAGGCCCAGACAGCCAGGAUGUUGGCUUAGAAGCAGCCAUCAUUUAAAGAAAGCGUAAUAGCUCACUGGUCGAGUCGGCCUGCGCGGAAGAUGUAACGGGGCUAAACCAUGCACCGAAGCUGCGGCAGCGACACUAUGUGUUGUUGGGUAGGGGAGCGUUCUGUAAGCCUGUGAAGGUGGCCUGUGAGGGUUGCUGGAGGUAUCAGAAGUGCGAAUGCUGACAUAAGUAACGAUAAAGCGGGUGAAAAGCCCGCUCGCCGGAAGACCAAGGGUUCCUGUCCAACGUUAAUCGGGGCAGGGUGAGUCGACCCCUAAGGCGAGGCCGAAAGGCGUAGUCGAUGGGAAACAGGUUAAUAUUCCUGUACUUGGUGUUACUGCGAAGGGGGGACGGAGAAGGCUAUGUUGGCCGGGCGACGGUUGUCCCGGUUUAAGCGUGUAGGCUGAUUUUCCAGGCAAAUCCGGAAAAUCAAGGCUGAGGCGUGAUGACGAGGCACUACGGUGCUGAAGCAACAAAUGCCCUGCUUCCAGGAAAAGCCUCUAAGCAUCAGGUAACAUCAAAUCGUACCCCAAACCGACACAGGUGGUCAGGUAGAGAAUACCAAGGCGCUUGAGAGAACUCGGGUGAAGGAACUAGGCAAAAUGGUGCCGUAACUUCGGGAGAAGGCACGCUGAUAUGUAGGUGAAGCGACUUGCUCGUGGAGCUGAAAUCAGUCGAAGAUACCAGCUGGCUGCAACUGUUUAUUAAAAACACAGCACUGUGCAAACACGAAAGUGGACGUAUACGGUGUGACGCCUGCCCGGUGCCGGAAGGUUAAUUGAUGGGGUUAGCGGCAACGCGAAGCUCUUGAUCGAAGCCCCGGUAAACGGCGGCCGUAACUAUAACGGUCCUAAGGUAGCGAAAUUCCUUGUCGGGUAAGUUCCGACCUGCACGAAUGGCGUAAUGAUGGCCAGGCUGUCUCCACCCGAGACUCAGUGAAAUUGAACUCGCUGUGAAGAUGCAGUGUACCCGCGGCAAGACGGAAAGACCCCGUGAACCUUUACUAUAGCUUGACACUGAACAUUGAGCCUUGAUGUGUAGGAUAGGUGGGAGGCUUUGAAGUGUGGACGCCAGUCUGCAUGGAGCCGACCUUGAAAUACCACCCUUUAAUGUUUGAUGUUCUAACGUGGGCCCGUAAUCCGGGUUGCGGACAGUGUCUGGUGGGUAGUUUGACUGGGGCGGUCUCCUCCUAAAGAGUAACGGAGGAGCACGAAGGUUGGCUAAUCCUGGUCGGACAUCAGGAGGUUAGUGCAAUGGCAUAAGCCAGCUUGACUGCGAGCGUGACGGCGCGAGCAGGUGCGAAAGCAGGUCAUAGUGAUCCGGUGGUUCUGAAUGGAAGGGCCAUCGCUCAACGGAUAAAAGGUACUCCGGGGAUAACAGGCUGAUACCGCCCAAGAGUUCAUAUCGACGGCGGUGUUUGGCACCUCGAUGUCGGCUCAUCACAUCCUGGGGCUGAAGUAGGUCCCAAGGGUAUGGCUGUUCGCCAUUUAAAGUGGUACGCGAGCUGGGUUUAGAACGUCGUGAGACAGUUCGGUCCCUAUCUGCCGUGGGCGCUGGAGAACUGAGGGGGGCUGCUCCUAGUACGAGAGGACCGGAGUGGACGCAUCACUGGUGUUCGGGUUGUCAUGCCAAUGGCACUGCCCGGUAGCUAAAUGCGGAAGAGAUAAGUGCUGAAAGCAUCUAAGCACGAAACUUGCCCCGAGAUGAGUUCUCCCUGACUCCUUGAGAGUCCUGAAGGAACGUUGAAGACGACGACGUUGAUAGGCCGGGUGUGUAAGCGCAGCGAUGCGUUGAGCUAACCGGUACUAAUGAACCGUGAGGCUUAACCUU
rnacentral:rRNA from 1 species